rnacentral:tRNA from 1 species
GCGAGAGUAGCUCAAUUGGUAGAGCGUCAGCCUUCCAAGCUGAGGGUUGCGAGUUCGAUUCUCGUCUCUCGCUCAA